rnacentral:snRNA from 1 species
AUACUUACCUUGCGUUCGCAGUCUUGGGCGAUCAAGGAUGCCUGGCUGUCGUCAGUAGGUCUGCGCAUUGCACAGCGACCCAUUCGCUCCACGCAGAACUGCUGGCGGGUUUGUGUCCAUGAUGCAAGCCGAUGCUCAAUCUCUUGAACGGACGGGCCGGCUUUCGAGCUGGUCCGCC